AUUGAACGCUGGCGGCAUGCCUUACACAUGCAAGUCGAACGGCAGCACGGGAGCUUGCUCCUGGUGGCGAGUGGCGAACGGGUGAGUAAUACAUCGGAACGUACCCAGUAGUGGGGGAUAACGCACCGAAAGGUGCGCUAAUACCGCAUACGACCUACGGGUGAAAGCGGGGGACCGUAAGGCCUCGCGCUAUUGGAGCGGCCGAUGUCUGAUUAGCUAGUUGGCGGGGUAAAAGCCCACCAAGGCGAAGAUCAGUAGCUGGUCUGAGAGGACUAUCAGCCACACUGGGACUGAGACACGGCCCAGACUCCUACGGGAGGCAGCAGUGGGGAAUUUUGGACAAUGGGGGCAACCCUGAUCCAGCAAUGCCGCGUGUGCGAAGAAGGCCUUCGGGUUGUAAGGCACUUUUGUCAGGGAAGAAAUCUUUCAGGCUAAUACCCUUGGAAGGAUGACGGUACCUGAAGAAUAAGCACCGGCUAACUACGUGCCAGCAGCCGCGGUAA
rnacentral:rRNA from 1 species